AAGAGUGAAAGCUCGAAAACUUGUAACUUGCACCAGCAGAAGUUGGUUCAAUAAAAGGUCCCAGCUUCUCUUUCAUGCUGUGAACCAAGGAGUAGAGAGAGACGAUCUCAGAACUUAAACAACCAGGUACUUGAAUUCAGGAACUGUGUCUGUAGACAGGCUGAGUGGCCUCCCUCUGACGCUGACAGGAACUGCUCCCUGCCCUCUGGUGGACGGAGCCAGGUCAGGCCCAACCUUUGCACCAGAAGCAGAGGGGUAGACCAGGAAGUAUAAGAUGUGGGGCUUCCAGCUCAGUUGAGGGAGAGCCAGGGAAGGAGUUGGAUUCCUCUGCCUUACUGCUGACCCUUGAGCCAGAGACCGAGCUGUACCAACCCGUGCCCCUGGAGGAAUACCCUGAGGAACUGCCGAAUACUCUGAGGAGCCUGAGGGCCCGUGAGCAACGAAGCCCUUCGAACAGAUGGGUAUAAUUAAAUAUACAGAUAGAAGUAUGGGAAUGGACGACAGCAUUACUUUAUACUGUUGGUGGAACCCUUUGACUGAAGAAAAGAAAUAUUCAGUAUAAAUAGAUAAAGGCAGCCUGUCGCCAAGGAGAACGGUUCCCAUUCUACUGUAGUGGAGGGAGGCCAUCCAUACUAUACAGCCCCCUCUCUCCAUAGAAUGUUCCACCAAAUUGAAAUCCUCCACCCUACACCACUUAUCCAGCUAGGGGUUCACUUGCAGCACCUUCUGACUUCUAUCUUCCUUUGCUCAUGGGAUAGGAAGGAUCUCAGAGAUUGCUUGGACAUUCUUCUUCAGGGAAUCUGGAAGCGUGCUGAAGUCAUCUAUUAUCUGUGAGGUAUCCAGUGAUGCAGUGUCAUUAUUGUCAUUAUGAACCAUGCCCAAUGGAUUCUUGCCUGUCAACUUUAGGAUGCUUAUCUGAUCUUAGAGUGAGGUCUCAUGUCUUGGCUCUGGGAAGGCAGCACACCAUCCUGUUGACAGCCUGUUCCUUGCAGAGGGUUUAGGACACAUCCCUGUCCUUGGCAUCUCUCACUGGUGAGCUUACGUGGCUCACCACCUAGCACAUGUGGUUUUGUGAAUUGCAUCAUAAGGAGUGUUUAAUUCGGGCUUUGUGGAUUGCAGUGUUGUUCCUGUGAUUGUUCUGGGUGCCUAAAAUUAGGCAUCACAACGUUCAGCAUCACAAUACCUAAGUUCCUUUGUGGAGCUGGGUUGACAGAACUAAUGAAAAUCAACAACUUGCCAAUUAGAAGCAUCCCUAGACAGCUGAGAGUGAAGUGAUAACUCUGGAAACGAACGAAAGUGCAUUGUGAUGAAGAGAUGGGAUACGUGUGCCAGCAGAUAAUGAGUGAUUCUUUGCUCCAAGGGUUUUCAUUGGUUGUCAAAGUGAGUGAGUGAAUGAAACAUUCAAUUAAUGAUUUGGAGAGGUUUUUAUUUUUUCUAUCCUACCCUUGUUUCAGUGAGUUUUGGCUAUCUCACACAGCAACAUUAGGGCCUUGUCUUGAUGGGCAAAAAGGAAGGUGUGUUUCUCCAUCCUGUUUCUUAACAUGAUUGAAAAGGCUCAUCAGAACAGACCCUGA